AACCGGCUAAUACUACUAGGAAUCUGUUUAACUUCCUGCUAAUCCUGUUAAGUUUCUGCUAAUACGGCUAAUCCUGGUAAGUUUUCGCUUAAUACGGCUAAACCUAUUAAGUUUCCCAUUAGUCAAAUGACGUUUAUGAAUUUCCUGCUAAUCCUAGUAAGUUCUUAUCAGGAUUAAACGAAUUACUUAGUAAGUUUUCAAAAAUAAAACAAGUAUAAAAAAUCGUCUUUGUUAUACGCCAUCUUUUUUUUAUUCACACGGAAGACAAGUCAGCCCUUAAACAGCUUUUUUAGAUUCAAUAGUUUUACUAAAUAAUAUUUGUAAUUCUAUAGGGAAAAAGCUCAAGAAAAUCUGGGGAUGAUUGCGUAAUUUGCAGCCUGACUAAAAAUUUUAGUCAGACUAAAAGUUUUACUCAGACUAAAUGGGAGUAAACCAUUUGAUAUUAAAAAUUGAUCAAUCUUGAAGUCACUCUUUUAUAAAAUCUAUAUAAACAUUUUUUACUCAUUAUAAUAGCUUUGAAACAAUGACAAUGAAAGUUUUUCAUUGUUCUAAAUUUAUGCUACAGUUACGGUCGUAAAAGAUUAAGACAAAUCUUAUGGGUGCAAUUAUUCCACUGGCACUUGCGAAAUUGCCAAAAGAACUGACCAUCGCUGUUUGUUGUAUUUUUUUAAAUGUUUUAGUUAAACAAUCUAACACUUUA
rnacentral:misc_RNA from 1 species